GUACACGCUGUGACUAGCAUAUCAAUAAGCGGAGGAAAAGUAACUAACAAGGAUUCCCCUAGUAACGGCGAGUGAAGCGGGAAGAGCUCAAAUUUGAAAUCUUAAAGGGUUUCCCUUUACGAAUUGUAGUUUAAAGAAGUGUUUUCUGUUGAGGUUUUGGUAAAAGUUCUUUGGAAUAGGACAUCAUAGAGGGUGAGAAUCCCGUAUUUGACCUUUACUUUCAACUUUGUGAUACACUUUCAAAGAGUCGGAUUGUUUGGGAAUGCAGUCCAAAAUGGGUGGUAAAUUUCAUCUAAAGCUAAAUAUUGGCGAGAGACCGAUAGCGAACAAGUACCGUGAGGGAAAGAUGAAAAGAACUUUGAAAAGAGAGUUAAACAGUACGUGAAAUUGUCAAAAGGGAAGCGUUUGACACCAGUGUUGUUUUUCUGAAAAUCAAUUAAAGAACUGUUUAUGCUAAGUUGUUUAGACUUUAUCAGCUAAUCUGUUUAGUUUUGAGCUUUUCUUUAAUGCACUUUUCAGUUAACAAGUCAACAUCAAUUUCUUUUGCUGUAAAAAAGCUUGAGGAAGGUGGCUUGAGAUUCGUCUUAAGUGUUUAUAGCCUCCUGCCUAUGCAGUCGGAGAGAUUGAGGUCUGCAGCGUAGAUCCUUCGGGGCUAAACGCAUUUGUGCUAAGUUAUAGCAUUUUAUAGACAACUUGUUGACUAUGAUUUGUCUUGUAGCUUACUCGCUUAUGUUAUUUUACCUACGCUUAGGAUGUUGAAGAUGUAGCACAUCAU
rnacentral:rRNA from 1 species